GCGGGCGUAGUUCAAUGGUAGAACACGAGCCUUCCAAGCUCGGUAUGUGAGUUCGAUUCUCAUCGCCCGCUCUA
rnacentral:tRNA from 1 species